GGAGAAGUGACCGAGUGGCCGAAGGUAGCUGUUUGCUAAACAGUAUCGGAUAAUACCGACGCAGGUUCAAAUCCUGUCUUCUCCGCCU
rnacentral:tRNA from 13 species